CAGCUUCGUAAGGUCAGUGUGUGGCGCUGUAAUCCAUUAGAGAGCAAGUUACACCAGUCCUAACCGUUGGUAGCUUAACAGCUAGCCCAGAGCUACAAAUCGUUAUUCAUUGUUGUUUUACUGUAUUUUCAGCGUGGAGCUCCGGCGGACAGCUGAGCGCGCGCAGCCCGCAGCCUGUGCACCCCAGUCGGACGAACCGUCAGACCGGAACCGGAGGUCUGAACGCCGAGUCUGGACCCAAGACGGAGGACAUUUAUUUCACCGUUUAUCCGUCAGUCCAACCUGUCAGCCCCUCUGUGCCGAGGUCUGACAAAACACCGUCUCAGGCAGGGUGGGCCGUGAUUGGCUAGCUGCAUCCCUGCAAUGCAACACAGAAUAAAGAAAAUUGGGCAACACAAGUCAAGCCAUCUGAACUUCACAAGCCCUCCAGCAGUGAUGCUGCUCCUGAUGAAGAAGGAAGCGUCAAGAGCAGUUUCACCGGCUGACAAUGGAGCUGCAGAAUCACUUCAGUUAUACUUUCUGAUGACAAGCACUGCACUUUAGAGGAAAUUGGGAAUUUAUAAACUGAGAAAAAAAUGGGGUAAAAUUCACAAAAAAGGAAUAAAUAAGUUCAUAAAUACAAACUUAACAGAAAAUCUAGACUUUUCUAAAAUGAAAGAAAUGAAAGUAAAGUUUCUGACUUGGUGUGUAAACAAACUGGACUGAACACAUUUUGGACCAAAACACCUGGUUAGUAAAAGCCUUAGUGAGUAGAAAAUCAAGAGACAGCAAUGAUUCCAACCCUCUUUUCUCAGACAGCUCUGUUGCUCUGCAGCCUGAACGCUGCUGAUCAUAAUUCACUGAAACGCUUCUCAUGACAAGAAGCAUUGAGCUGAAAUCAAUUUGAGAACUGAAAGCCUCUUUUUAUUUAUAUUUUUUUCUUUCUGCUCUUCUGUGAAAUAUUAUUGGUAACUGACCUAGUACACAGCUAUUGAGGCACUUUUAUUUCGGGCUUCAGUCAGAUUUAUUUUAUUCCUGUCCUGGCCUCUCUGUGUGGGAAGCUGCUGAUGGAUUUUGUACUUCUUCACAAACACUGACUCAGUUUGUGCUGCUCAGCCUGCAGCCCACAGGCUCUGUGCAAGUUGCAAGCGAUGCACUUAUUAUGUGCAUCUUAAUAUAAGACUCUAAGAUUCCCAUAUCUCAUCAGCUUUUCUUUUUUUAUCUCUUUUCCUCACAAUUCUCUUAUUCUUAGGUUGCCAUGUCUCCGACCCUUGAAUCGUAAUUCUUUACGGUUAAUGGUUUGUAUAUUGGUAGUGUGGGUCUCAUUUAAGUGAGUCAAAUCUUAAAUGCAAAGUAGUUAAGUGGAAAGCCGCCUGUUUUUAUUCAGAACAGAUGGAAAAUGAGUUAUUGAUUUUGAAAAUGAUUGUCUAAUAUUCUCUGAGGAAAGUUCAACUGAAGUUACUGUGGAGGUCAGCAGAAAGUCAGUGAGCUGAGAGGAAAACAGCAUGGGGGGGGGCGGCUAAACUCAGAAUACAUACAGUAUAACAACCAAAGAUAUGAAAAUACAAGUAUUACUAGUAGUAAUCCUGCAGAUUUUAUUAAAGUUUUGGGCUGCUGCUGAGUAAGUCUUACCAUAAGACUGCAUGACGAGAUCAUGCAAAAAUCAGUUUACAGUAUUUAUCUCAAAUUCUGACUUUUGCUUUUAUUACUUUAUUUUUACAGGCUGUUCUGUGCAUUGGAUUAUAUACCACAAUGUAAAAAUAUUCCAAUACAAGUAAAAAUCCUGAAUUAAAAAUCUUACUUAGUAAAACUACAGAAGUAUUUUCAGCAAAGUGUACUCAAAGUAUUAAAAGUAAACUACUAAUCUACUUCUUAAACAGAAUGGCUCCUUUUUUUAGUUAUAUUUUAUACUGUAUUAUUGCAUUAUUAUUACUGAUGCAUGAAAGUGUAAAAGAUUCUUUAGUGUAAGUACAAUCUAAAUCUGCAAAAUAACAACUGUAAAUGUACUGGAGUGCAAGCACAAAGGAGCAGAAAGUAGAACUACUCAAGUGCUGUACUUGUUGUACUUCAGUACAUUUUAGUUACAUUCCGACACGGUCUUAAAACUUUAAAAGAGCACUCAAGCAAGUUUUAGUAUUGAGACUUCUGUCAGUUUUAUACUCAGGUCCUGAGUUUCAUUUUAAUUGUAUUUGUUACAGCUGAAAUGACAAACUUGAGGUUAAAAAAGAAAUGAUUAUCUAAAGUGAAGCAGAGGUCUAGAUAUCUUGACGUUUAGUCUAGUAUGGGUCAAAAACAAUGCACCUCAGUAGCAUCUUUGUGUGUGACCCUCCCUGCUGGUAAACAGCCACCUUUCAAACUCCACAUCUCCAGUUUGUAACUCAAGCUUUCUGUUGUAAAUGUGUAGCCUCCAAGCUGAGAUAACCCUGAUGACAUCAUCAGGGUUAUUUUCUCCUCCAGAGCAACAGAAGACAUUAUACAACUGUUCUCACAAGCUGAGUAGGACCAACCAGGAGGAGUAAACUGAGUUUGAUGAUACUUUUAUUAAACUUUUCUCAGCUUUGAAAUAUUAUCAGAAUUUUGAAAAAGUAAAAUAGAGUCAGCUGUGCUUUUGUUUUCCAGAUGGAGUUUUAUUUUAUGCCUCUGACAGCACUCAAACUGAGCACCGUUUGAUCUCUUUAAAAUCUCUCCCAAACAUCUUCCACUGCUGCAUUUUUCUCUACUUAUCCUACUCGAAUGCAUGUUUGUGUGUUUUUGUGUUUGCGUGCAUAUAUUAUACAGUGAUUGUCUGUGAGGCUCUGUAUUGCCGGUGUGCUUGUCAUGACUGGGGAGACUGGGUGAGAGCGGGCUAUGCGUUAAAAG